UACGAAAGGGGCUAGCGUUGUUCGGAAUCACUGGGCGUAAAGGGUGCGUAGGCGGGACUUUAAGUCAGGGGUGAAAUCCUGGAGCUCAACUCCAGAACUGCCUUUGAUACUGAAGAUCUUGAGUUCGGGAGAGGUGAGUGGAACUGCGAGUGUAGAGGUGAAAUUCGUAGAUAUUCGCAAGAACACCAGUGGCGAAGGCGGCUCACUGGCCCGAUACUGACGCUGAGGCACGAAAGCGUGGGGAGCAAACAGG
rnacentral:rRNA from 1 species